rnacentral:tRNA from 24 species
GCCGCCUUAGCUCAGCUGGUAGAGCAUCGCAUUCGUAAUGCGGGGGUCACAGGUUCGAGUCCUGUAGGCGGCACCA